ACCCGGUCCCAUUCCGAACCCGGUAGUUAAGCCCUUCAGCGCCGAUGGUACUGCAUGGGUGACUGUGUGGGAGAGUAGGACGCCGCCGGAC
rnacentral:rRNA from 1 species